GCGCAGAUGGGCAUGGCCACGCGGGCGCAGUACAGGAGGCAGGUCCCCAGCAGCAGCACCGCCGUCCACGUCCGGGCCACCGGCCUGCAGGAGCAGGAGGUCAGCAGGCGGCAGGCGGGACAAAGUUUGCAUUGAGAAAGGCACAACUCCCUCUUUGUGUCAUCUGAAGAGCAACGCCCGACAGGACGCAGAUGAUACGUGUCAUUUAACUGCAGCACGAGCCAGAUGUUACGUUACUUCACGUACAGCCCAGAUGUUAACUCACGCCGCACCUGGUCGUAGGAACGACUCGGAGUUGUAGAGAAGUAUCGCUGUUAGUUGUGAUCGGCGUUCGGAGCCUUGGAAACACAAGUAAACUCGAAAGCAACACUGUACCUGAAGUCUGGCAGUGGCUACAACGUUACCUUGACCAGUUGGUGCCGUGAUCGGGCCACUUCUUAUGACACCCAGCCGCUCCGGUCUUGUCAUACGGGGGGUUUUCCUUGUGACAGACCAAAUCUGGACCAUGUUUUUUGCCAUAUUUUUGAGUAACUGCCAUUCAACGCGAGGUAACAGCAGCCUCCUCCCCUCAAACGCUUCAGCGGGUUAGUUACUUGCCGAGGUCCUGCUUAAUCUCUUUCCGGUGUUAAGAAAAAGAAAUGAAGCAAACCGCCUCGCGAAGUAUCUACGAAAUCAUUUCCCCCGGAUUUUUCGGCAUUUACAUCCAGCUACCUGAAGGACUGGCUGAACAGGAACAGGGGCGAGCUGCUGUUUUCCUGAUGCCCCGAGGAGGAGUGAUCCACGUGUCAGUUUUUCUCCAGCCUCCUCCUCCUCCAGCGCGGUCGCAGUUCUGCUUCUGAUCGGUAGGGUUAAUCAGGAAGUGAUCGAACGCAGGUCUCGACUAAACCGGCUUCUGCUGUCCAUCCGUGCAUUUCUUCCGCUGCUGCAUCAUCCGCGUCGGAGGCACCUCUGCGUUCGGCCUUUCCCACCGUGACGGUGCAGUCUGUGGGAAGCGCGGCCGAGCGCUUCUCCGUCCGGAUGAAGCCGCGAUGAUGAUGCUCGCACCGUGAAACUUGUGCGGCCAGAGAUGCGCGUCGCCUGCACCGCUGUGCCCCGUCUGCUCCUGGCUCCUCGACUUAUAUAAUACUACUGCAUUCAGCAACGUAUAGCAGCUCCCGUACUGCUCUUCCCUUCACUGGAUCACUACAAUGUAAAACAGUCAUUGUAUGUAAAUGCGACCUUUGGAUUCCCAACGCAGUUAUUACAGGCCCAUGGACCAAAAUAAUGCAGUUUAAUUUCUGCGGUCAUUUAACUUUGACACAUACUUUCAAACUUUAUUUUACUUUAACCAAAAGAGAACAAAGCCUGUUUUCCAGCAAAACAUCCCAAAUCAUCAGUCAUUGUUCUCUACAGUACUUGUACUCAAGUAUUUUCUUACCAUGCUAUUGGUUUCUUCUAAUCCACCAUUUCAAUAGUUAAGUUUAUACCUCACAGACUGUUUUCAUUAAAUGCCGUGCUAUUGUACACCCAGCCCCGUCUGAGUACAUGUAGUUUCUUCCAGCAGCAUUGUAAAAGUUCCUGAAUAUUACAAGAAGCCAAGUUUUACACUCCUUUAUGACAUGCCCAGUUUCAAAAUUCACUUUUAUUGCAAAAUAAUAUACCAGCAAAAAGCACAUCAAAUAUUGCAAAAAGAGCUACUCCAUAUUGUUAUUCCACACAAUAAUCAAUCUGUAAAAGGGUCUUUACAUCUGUGUAUUUAUCCAUUCACAUCUUUAAACAUCACAUGUGAUAUUGUAUAACAGUAUGAAACUGAAGCCGUCUCUAAGCUUGCACAGUCUUUAUACAUAGCAAAGUUUACAGGAUUCCGGGAAUUUGUCUUGUCCAGCCAGUUCAUGUAAAAGUUGAUCUUUUCUUUGUUGUUCUUGCUGUCAGCAUUUUUUGGAAAUGUUUGAGAAAUGAUGAGUUAAAAUACAAAGUUGAAUUUG